rnacentral:rRNA from 1 species
AAUAAUGUUUUAAUUAGUAUUGUUUGUAGUUAUAAUUUAGGAACUCGGCAAUUUUGAAUUUCAUCUGUUUAAUAAAAACAUGUUUUUAUGAUAAUUGUUUAAAAUGAGGCCUGCCCAAUGAUUUGUAUUUAAUGGCUGCAGUAUUUUAACUGCACUAAGGUAGCGUAAUAAUUUGUUUAGUAAUUUUAGACUUGUAUGAAUGGUUUUAUGAAAAUUAUUCUUUCUUAAUUAUAUAAAUAGGAAUUUAUUUUUUAAGUUAAAAAACUUAAGUUUUUUUAUAGGACGAUAAGACCCUAUAAAACUUUAUCUAUAUCUAUAUAUAUAUAUAUAGAUAUAGAUUUUAUUGGGGUGAUAAGGAUUUUUGUUUAACAAUAAUUUUGUUUAUCAAUGAUAUUUGAUUUAUUUGAUCCAAUAACUUUUGAUUAUUAGUUUAAGUUACUUUAGGGAUAACAGCGUAAUUUAAUUGGAGAGUUCUUAUCGAUAAUUUAAGUUUGCGACCUCGAUGUUGAAUUAAGGAGAAAUUAGGAGUAGUUCUUUAUAUUUUUUGGUCUGUUCGACCAAUUUUUUCUUACAUGAUUUGAGUUUAGACCGGUGUGAGCCAGGUUGGUUUCUAUCCUUAAUAUAUUUAUUAUUUUUUAGUACGAGAGGACCAAAAGUUUAAUUAAAUUUUA